rnacentral:rRNA from 1 species
GAUGAACGCUAGCGGCAGGCCUAACACAAGCAAGUCGAGGGGCAGCACAUAAAGUGGUUUACUACUUUUGGUGGCGACCGGCGGACGGGUGCGUAACGCGUAUGCAACCUGCCUCCAACAGGGGGAUAACGGAGAGAAACUUCCACUAAUACCCCAUAAUAUCAGAAUCGGCAUCGGUUUUGGUUGAAAACUCCGGUGGUUGGAGAUGGGCAUGCGUUGUAUUAGAUAGUUGGUGAGGUAACGGCUCACCAAGUCAACGAUACAUAGGGGGACUGAGAGGUUAGCCCCCCACACUGGUACUGAGACACGGGCCAGACUCCUACGGGAGGCAGCAGUGAGGAAUAUUGGUCAAUGGGGGCAACCCUGAACCAGCCAUGCCGCGUGCAGGAAGACGGCUCUAUGAGUUGUAAACUGCUUUUACAAGGGGAUAAAUCGGUGUACGUGUACACCGUUGAAGGUACCUUGGGAAUAAGGAUCGGCUAACUCCGUGCCAGCCGCCGCAGUAA